GAAGUAAAAGUAAAGAGUAAUUCAUGAAGAGCACACAGUUUAACUGCAGUACUUCCCCAGAUGUCGUCUUUAUAAUAAUUGUUUUCCUUGUCAAAGAGGACACUAUAGAGCCAGAUCUAAUGGAUCCAUACCCACAUUGUUGUGUGACAGUAUGAACAGUUUGACAUCUGAGAGAAUCUGUUGAUUGCAUUAAACAAAAGUCAUGUUAUUGGCACAAAUUUUUCAUGUUUGGUCUGGAGUGUGUGUGAUGGUUAACAGACUGAACUUUGAUUUCAGCAGCUGAUCUUCAGUCAGGAUUUCUGUCCACAGGAGAGACUCUCAGUCCUGCAGAGGACACAGAGACACUGAGGAACCAG